rnacentral:snoRNA from 14 species
GCGGUCUGAAAAUCACUUGGGCUCUCCUGUGGUCCCUGGUGAGAUAACUGUGCCUACAGCAAAGGGAACAUAAAGCUUACUGCCCACAGUGCCGUGUGGGGAGUGAAACCCAUGUUCCCAUAACC